GGGUUGAUAGGCCAGGAAUGUAAGGCUCGUGAGGGUUUGAGUUGACUGGUACUAAUAUCCCGAUGACUAACA
rnacentral:rRNA from 1 species